rnacentral:rRNA from 1 species
GAUGAACGCUGGCGGCGUGCCUAAUACAUGCAAGUCGAGCGAACGGACGAGAAGCUUGCUUCUCUGAUGUUAGCGGCGGACGGGUGAGUAACACGUGGAUAACCUACCUAUAAGACUGGGAUAACUUCGGGAAACCGGAGCUAAUACCGGAUGAUAUUUUGAACCGCAUGGUUCAAAAGUGAAAGACGGUCUUGCUGUCACUUAUAGAUGGAUCCGCGCUGCAUUAGCUAGUUGGUAAGGUAACGGCUUACCAAGGCAACGAUGCAUAGCCGACCUGAGAGGGUGAUCGGCCACACUGGAACUGAGGCACGGUCCAGACUCCUACGGGAGGCAGCAGUAGGGAAUCUUCCGCAAUGGGCGAAAGCCUGACGGAGCAACGCCGCGUGAGUGAUGAAGGUCUUCGGAUCGUAAAACUCUGUUAUUAGGGAGGAACAUAUGUGUAAGUAACUGUGCACAUCUUGACGGUACCUAAUCAGAAAGCCACGGCUAACUACGUG